UGCUGGCCCACACUGCAGGUAGACUCCAGAUUCCAGUCACUGUUGCAGACAGUAGGGUGGAGCCUGAAUCUUCCCUCUCUCUGUGGUGUCCUUUGCCCUGAUUCUUUCCAUCACAUAAAGCUCAGCAGGCCGCAGAAGGCAGGAAGACUGUGGAGAAGAGAGAAGUGCAGAGUUGUACACACAGGGCCUGCUGGUUCUUCUGAUACUCCUGGGUACUUCUCACUCACCAGGUCAAAAAGAUUUACCCUUCACUGUGGGUGCCAGCUUUGGAAGGGACACAUCUCAACAGAGCUAUGGGUCUAUUCCUUUAGACCAGCACACGUGUGACUGGCUUGUGAGAAGAGGCUCAAGAGGGACACCCUUCCCUCUGUCCCUCAUGGCUGUAAUGGGCUGCUUGCUGCCAAGAAGGGGGAAGGAAAUGGACAGUGGACUUGAUUGCUAAGCCCCUGUUCUGAAUUAUUUUAUUUCUUGUUUUUUCUUCAUGGGAGAUAGCAAUCUUAGGCUGUAUGUAUCCUCUGCUUUAAUAGUUCCUUAACUGAACGUUUAUAUAUACACUCCAUAUAUUUUUCUAUUUAUUACCCAUUUUGUUAUUAAAUACCUAGGAGAGUUGUCUUAAGCAUGCAUCACCAUCCCCUCAUUAUAAGUCUCACAUUCAUGAAAUCAUAGGCUGGACUUGGCCUCCACUGUCUGUCCAACAUCUGCUUCAGUGACUGUUAAGUAAAAGACCCAGUAAAUGCUUGUCCUAUGAUUAAACAGCCAUGGGAUAAAACCCAACACCUUAGUCACUGACACCCAUGAAAGUAUAAUGGAGCAGAAGAACUCCUGUUGCUGACACCAUAGCCUUGGGAUCACCAUAUACCAAGGUACUGCUCAAAUGUGGAUGGCACUGCUGUAUGGAAAACUACUGUGCUGCCAUUCACAUGAAACCGCAGCACACAGAAUUCUAUACAGGCUUUGAUUAUGGUAAAGAAUAUCUCCAAUCCUAGUUUGUACUUACUCCAACGCACUUCUUUUGGUUAACCAAGUUAGUGUACAAGAGUCUUCCCUGUUGUACAGCAACAGCCUCAUGUACCUGAUACUCACUAUUUCUUUGUUGUACCUGGAGACAACAUGGGUGAAUUAGCCUGUAUUGUCUAGCUGUGUGCAGGUGCAUGUGCCCACCAUGACCUGGGUGCCUUCUGCCAUAUUGUAAUAUUGAGGAGCUAUGCCCUCUAUAAAUAACCAAGAUGGUAGAGCUGUUAGGACAAUUGUGGGUCCUUUGAGAUUUGGAGCCUUACUAUAGAAAGUAUGUCACUGGGGGUGGGUUUUGAGUUUUUAUAUCUUAUUUGCUGUUUACUCUCUACUUCCUGCCUGCCUUUAAACUUCCUGUCACUUCCUGCCAUGUCUCCCCGCCAUGAUGAAUUCUUAUUCCUUUGAAACCAUAAGUACAAAAUCAUUCUUUUGUACGUUUCUAAGUUAUGGUAUUUUGUCUUGGCAAUAAAGGAGUAACUAAGAUUCUACGUCUCUCAGAGCACAUCCCUGUCUUUAAGCAGUGCAUGCAUGUAGGUGAACACGCCACUGGUGUCCACCAAUUGGAUCAUACUCUGCAGCCACCUGGUUUUUUUCCCUGAUUCACAGAUUACCAGCUGUGGCUUAAAAUUCUUUCUGCUGUUUACUGUCUUAAUUCUGGAUAUUGUGUUUGAGAAAUUAACAUGUUGUGAUCUUUGCUGAAGAGGGGAAAAUUCUCAGGCCCUACAGCUCCUGAACUCUGCUGCCAGGUUGACUCUCCAGACUGUAGGCUACUCGCUGCAAGUGGGUAUGUCUGUGAGGUUUGCUCUAACUCAGGCUCAAAGGUUCCCACACAUUGGGGGACCCACGGACACAUAAAGUAAUAAUUUCAAUCACAAACUAUCAUAAUUUUCUAUAUAUUAGCAAUGUCCAUUAUGGCUUCUGAAUAAAUGAAUACUCAUAAGAAAUCUACCAACUUUAUUGCAUUUCAAUCAUUCUGACAGCCUUCAAAUAUACCACCUUUACCACCUGGCUAUGUGCAUUGACUGACUGAUCAAACAUUAGAAAAACUGUCCCCACCCCAUCACAGAUGGGAGCAUUGUUAGGGAGCAGAGAUUCAAGACAUCUGACUCUACCUACCAAAGUUCCACAUAGGCCAACAGCAAGGAAAGCUAGAUCCUGGAUAGAUGACACCUGUCUCUGCACACCUUAAAGAACCUCCUUACCCCAGUGAACCCUUCCUAACCCAACAGCCAAUCAAAAAAAAAAUCAAAACUGUCCUGUGUCCUCUGGUUAAGCUGACCUGUGAAUAAAGAGUAUCCUGGAGUCCAGGGAGACUCCUUUGUAGUCUUUCAUGGGAAAUGACAUGGUGGGACUUUCUCCAGGAACCCAGCCAGGCACACAUGCCAUUUGGCCUCAAUGGAGAAUCUCAACAUAAAUACCAGCAUCCUCUCCCUGACAGCCACAGACUAUCACCUACUCUCCAGGACUCAGGUGAGAGAUGACUCCAUGGACUGACCUACACAAACACUUCUGCUCUUCUGUCCCAGAGUGUGAUUUCCUUUUAAAUUAAUCUUUGUGUUCUAAAUAUAUAUGGUGUGAAGUUUGUGCUGUGCUGCUGGGACAUGUGGGAAAUGAAAUGCCUCGCAGUGAAUUGUGGGUUCCUGUAGGGGGAGACAAUCUGCUCUCGAUGUCUCUCUUCCUCCAUCAGUGCUGUCUUGCUGUCCUCCCAGACAGACUUGGUUCAGGGCUGAUGGGAUCAUAACUGAAGGCUUGUGAUUUUGAGGAAGGUCCUGUUGCAAGGUCACCUAGGUGUCCCACUGGAAUUCUAGUGAGUUGCAGUGGGAAUGGACAACUAGCCUCUUCCUGGAUUACAGAUGUUUAAGGGGGAGGUACAAAUUUGGGCAUGUCUCCUAGAUUCUCUUUUGAUUUCUUCAGGAUGAACCUUCUCACUGGCCUCAUUUUCUGCUCCCUGGCCCUGGGGGUCAGCAGCUGGCUUUCAUUUACUAGUGAGGCUUACCGAGGGGCUGGGGGCAUGUGGCGAGCCUACUCUGACAUGAAGGAGGCCAACUGGAAAGAUUCAGACAAAUACUUCCAUGCCAGAGGGAACUAUGAUGCUGGGCUGCUGAAGUCAUCAGACAUUUAUCACUGUGGGCCAUGUCUUCACAGACACUUCAGGGCAGUGUCUCACAAACAGGAAGGGUUAUAGUUGCCUCCCACUCAUCUGUCUCUGCAUGUGGUGCUUACCAUUUACCUGUUGUGAUCUAAAGAUCUGAAAGGAAAAAAAAACUCCAUGGAUGUGAUUCCCCCUCUUCAUGGCAAUGUCUCAUCUCCCUCUGCAGCUGCUGUCCUUAGCCCUGCCUCCUGUCAUGGACUGAAUAUGAGGAAACACAGAAGGAAGAGGUGUUUUCAUGGUACUGGAGUGAAUUCCACAAUUUAGGCCAUUAGUCACAAAAAAAAUGUGGCUGAUCUAUGGGAAGAUACGAUGCAUUACAUUGAUGCCUAACAUUCUUAAGUGAUGGUCAUUAAGACAUACAAGUGGAUGAAACUGUGAAUGGUGUUAUCAUAACAGGAAAACUUGAGGGAGCCUUUUUCUAUUCUACUGUCUAUACAGAGAUGAUGCUACGCCCGAGGAAAGGCAAGCCCCAGCCUCCAGAAU